rnacentral:rRNA from 1 species
CUUGCUAUAACAAGGCGAAACCGCGAAUGGCUCAUUAAAUCAGUUAUGGUUCACUAGAUCGUACAGUUUACACGGAUAACUGUGGUAAUUCUAGAGCUAAUACGUGCAAUCAGCUCGCUUCCUUGUGAAGCGAGCGCAGUUAUUAGAACAAGACCAAUCCGGCCUUCGGGUCGGUACAAUUGGUGACUCUGAAUAACCGAAGCGGAGCGCAUGGUCUCGUACCGGCGCCAGAUCUUUCAAGUGUCUGACUUAUCAGCUUGUUGUUAGGUUAUGUUCCUAACAAGGCGUUUACGGGUAACGGGGUAUCAGGGUCCGAUACCGGAGAGGGAGCCUGAGAAACGGCUACCACAUCUAAGGAAGGCAGCAGGCGCGCAAAUUACCCACUCCCGGCACGGGGAGGUAGUGACGAAAAAUAACGAUGCGAGAGCUAUAAAGUUUCUCGUAAUCGGAAUGGGUACACUUUAAAUCCUUUAACGAGGAUCUAUUGGAGGGCAAGUCUGGUGCCAGCAGCCGCGGUAAUUCCAGCUCCAAUAGCGUAUAUUAAAGUUGCUGCGGUUAAAAAGCUCGUAGUUGGAUCUGGGUAGCUGGACGGAUGGUAUGCUUUACUGUGUUACUGUCUGUUCGGCACCACAAGCCGGUCAUGUCUUGCAUGCUCUUCACUGAGUGUGCUUGGCGGCCGGAACGUUUACUUUGAAAAAAUUAGAGUGCUCAAAGCAGGCGUACGGCCUUGCAUAAUGGUGCAUGGAAUAAUGGAAUAGGACCUCGGUUCUAUUUUGUUGGUUUUCGGAACUCGAGGUAAUGAUUAAUAGGAACAGACGGGGGCAUUCGUAUUGCGGCGUUAGAGGUGAAAUUCUUGGAUCGUCGCAAGACGAA